rnacentral:antisense_RNA from 1 species
UUGCUCACUACUAUCAUCUUGACUUUCUGAGGUACUUUGAUCUUGAAGAUCAUCAGUAUUUUGGGAAUUAUCCGUACUAUCUUCAGUUUCAUAGUAUCCAUCAGUGCCAGAACUUCCACUUUCUUCAGAUUUGCUAUGUUCGUAUCUUGAUGAUUCCUCAUCUGUUUCUGAGAGAUUACUACCAACUGAACUUUCAACUUCUUCGUCUUUAUCUGACUGUGUUCUGUUGGUUGAUUCACUCUUGCCAGCUUCUUGACCUUUAUCAUUAAAGCUUAUAUGUUCGUUGUCUGUACUAUUUGGUUCAUUAAGUACAGAUACAGAUUUAAACCUUUUUUUUUCUUUAUACUUUCCACCAAUUAUAGAAUCUUUAAUGUUUAUAGAUUCAAAAUCCAUGAACUCUGAUUCAGAUAACAUACCAGAAGAACUUUCAGAAGAAUCAAAUAUAUCCAGUUUCUCAUCAACAAUUUCAUCUUCAAUUACUGAAUCUCUACUUUUAAUGCUAGACUCAGAUUCUUCUUUAAAUAAUUCAUCAAUUGCAACGAUUUGACUUUCAGGUGCAUUAGUGGAGUAGUCUAUUCUUAUUUCUCUUGGCUGUGGUUCUAUCUGUGGCAAUGGCAUUUUAACAUAGUUCAUAUGCAUGGGAAGAACUUUUGGAACUAAGAGUAAAAGUGAAUCGUGUUUUAAUAUAAAUUUUUCUGUUUCUUCAAUAAGUGGAAUUUCAUUUUCAUCGAGGUAUUCAUCAUAUGAACUAUAUGGAAGAAUAUAUUUAACAAUUUCUGAUUCUUCAUCAGAUUGAGAAGUUUGAUUUUGAUCAGCUGCAAGAGCUGAUUUAAAGCUUUCUCCUAAAUUAAAGCUAUUACCCAAAAUACUAUCCGCUUCAUUUUCGAAUUUUGAGGAAUAGAAGUCAUUGAGCCUUAAUCCAGAAUUGGGUUCUGAACUGGUUUCUUCAGUGAACUUCCGUAGUUCUUCAAGUUCUUCUUUCUUGAAACUUAAUGGGUCACUUGCUGUAGCAAGUUUUCUACAUUGUUCUUGAUAAUUUUUUAAUCUUUUUUCAAAAAAAAAUUUUACUAUUUUAUCUUUCAUAGUGGCUUUGCCAUCCAACAUAUUACGUACUGACUUUUUACAUUUUUUUAAAUUAUAA